rnacentral:rRNA from 1 species
CCUACGGGUGGCAGCAGUAGGGAAUCUUUCACAAUGGGGGAAAGCCUGAUGGAGCAACGCCGCGUGCAGGAUGAAGGUUUUCGGGUUGUAAACUGCUUUUAUAAGCGAGAAAUAUGAUGGUAACUUAUGAAUAAGGAUCGGCUAACUACGUGCCAGCAGCCGCGGUCAUACGUAGGGUCCGAGCAUUAUUCGGAGUGACUGGGUGUAAAGAGUUGCGUAGGUGGCCUAAGAAGUAGCUAGUGGAAUCUGGUGGCUCAACCAUCCAGACUAUUAGCGAAACUGUUAAGCUCGAGACUGUUAGGGGUAACUGGAAGUCUUGGUGUAGGAGUGAAAUCCGUAGAUAUUAGGAGGAAUACCAAUAGCGUAGGCAGGUUACUGGAACGGUUCUGACACUAAUGCACGAAAGCGUAGGGAGCAAACGGGAUUAGAUACCCCUGUAGUC